AUUGAACGCUGGCGGCAGGCCUAACACAUGCAAGUCGAACGAGUGGCGGACGGGUGAGUAAUGUCUGGGAAACUGCCUGAUGGAGGGGGAUAACUACUGGAAACGGUAGCUAAUACCGCAUACCAUCGGAUGUGCCCAGAUGGGCUUGGCUAGUAGGUGGGGUAAAGGGUCACCUAGGCGACGAUCCCUAGCUGGUCUGAGAGGAUGACCAGCCACACGGGAACUGAGACACGGUCCAGACUCCUACGGGAGGCAGCCGUGGGGAAUAUUGCACAAUGGGCGCAGGCCUAAUACAGCCAGGCCGCGUGUAUGAAGAGGGCCUUCGGGUGGUAAAGUACUUUCAGCGGGGAGGCGUUACCCGCAGAAGAAGCGCCGGCUAACUCCGUGCCAGCAGCCGCGGUAAUUC
rnacentral:rRNA from 1 species